CAGUCGCCGCGGUAAUACGUAGGGUGCGAGCGUUAAUCGGAAUUACUGGGCGUAAAGCGUGCGCAGGCGGUUGUGUAAGACAGGUGUGAAGUCCCCGGGCUUAACCUGGGAACUGCGCUUGUGACUGCACAGCUAGAGUAUGGCAGAGGGGGGUGGAAUUCCACGUGUAGCAGCGAAAUGCGUAGAGAUGUGGAGGAACACCGAUGGCGAAGGCAGCCCCCUGGGCCAAUACUGACGCUCAUGCACGAAAGCGUGAGGAGCAAACAGGAUUAGAUACCCCAGUAGUCCCUGUCUCUUAUAA
rnacentral:rRNA from 1 species